rnacentral:tRNA from 1 species
GAUGAUGUAACUCAGCUGGUAGAGUGACCCUUUGUCAUUGGGUAAGUUCGUGGGUUCAAGUCCCAUCAUCAUCG